rnacentral:rRNA from 1 species
UACGUAGGGUGCAGGCGUUAAUCGGAAUUACUGGGCGUAAAGCGUGCGCAGGCGGUUUCUUAAGUCAGAUGUGAAAGCCCCGGGCUUAACCUGGGAACUGCGUUUGAAACUGGGAGACUUGAGUGUGGCAGAGGGGGGUGGAAUUCCACGUGUAGCAGUGAAAUGCGUAGAGAUGUGGAGGAACACCGAUGGCGAAGGCAGCCCCCUGGGUCAAGACUGACGCUCAUGCACGAAAGCGUGGGGAGCAAACAGG